AUUGAACGCUGGCGGCAUGCUUUACACAUGCAAGUCGAACGGUAACAGGUUAAGCUGACGAGUGGCGAACGGGUGAGUAAUGCAUCGGAACGUGCCCGAUCGUGGGGGAUAACGCAGCGAAAGCUGCGCUAAUACCGCAUGCGAUCUGAGGAUGAAAGCGGGGGACCGUAAGGCCUCGCGCGAUCGGAGCGGCCGAUGUCAGAUUAGGUAGUUGGUGGGGUAAAGGCCCACCAAGCCGACGAUCUGUAGCUGGUCUGAGAGGACGACCAGCCACACUGGGACUGAGACACGGGCCAGACUCCUACGGGAGGCAGCAGUGGGGAAUUUUGGACAAUGGGCGAAAGCCUGAUUCAGCAAUGCCGCGUGCAGGAAGAAGGCCUUCGGGUUGUAAACUGCUUUUGUACGGAGCGAAAAGGUCCUUUCUAAUACAAGGGGCUCAUGACGGUACCGUAAGAAUAAGCACCGGCUAACUACGUGCCAGCAGCCGUCGUAACAC
rnacentral:rRNA from 1 species